rnacentral:rRNA from 1 species
UACGUAGGGCGCAAGCGUUGUUCGGAAUUAUUGGGCGUAAAGCGCGUGUAGGCGGCUUUGCAAGUCGGGUGUGAAAGCCCUCAGCUCAACUGAGGAAGUGCGCCCGAAACUGCAGAGCUUGAGUACUAAAGAGGGUCGCGGAAUUCCCGGUGUAGAGGUGAAAUUCGUAGAUAUCGGGAGGAACACCGGUGGCGAAGGCGGCGACCUGGGUAGAUACUGACGCUGAGGUGCGAAAGCGUGGGGAGCAAACAGG